GACGAACGCUGGCGGCGUGCCUAAUACAUGCAAGUCGAACGAGAGCGACCGGUGCUUGCACUGGUCAAUCUAGUGGCGAACGGGUGAGUAACACGUGGGUAACCUGCCCAUCAGAGGGGGAUAACAUUCGGAAACGGAUGCUAAAACCGCAUAGGUCUUCGAACCGCAUGGUUUGAAGAGGAAAAGAGGCGCAAGCUUCUGCUGAUGGAUGGACCCGCGGUGCAUUAGCUAGUUGGUGAGGUAACGGCUCACCAAGGCCGUGAUGCAUAGCCGACCUGAGAGGGUGAUCGGCCACAUUGGGACUGAGACACGGCCCAAACUCCUACGGGAGGCAGCAGUAGGGAAUCUUCCGCAAUGGACGCAAGUCUGACGGAGCAACGCCGCGUGAGUGAAGAAGGUUUUCGGAUCGUAAAACUCUGUUGUCAGAGAAGAAUAAGUGCUAGAGUAACUGUUAGCGCCUUGACGGUAUCUAACCAGAAAGCCACGGCUAACUACGUG
rnacentral:rRNA from 1 species